GUCUUUUUGAAUUAAAUUUAAAGUCUAACCUGCCCACUGAAAUUUUAAAUGGCCGCAGUAUUUUAACUGUGCAAAGGUAGCAUAAUCAUUAGUCUUUUAAUUGAAGGCUGGAAUGAACGGUUGGACGAGAUAUUAACUGUUUCAUUUUAAUUUUUUUUUAGAAUUUUAUUUUUUAGUCAAAAAGCUAAAAUUUAUUUAAAAGACGAGAAGACCCUAUAAAUCUUUAUAUUUUAUUUAUUUUAAUUAUAAAGAUUAUUUUUAUUAUAAUAAAUUAAAAUAUUUUAUUGGGGUGAUAUUAAAAUUUAAAAAACUUUUAAUUUUUAAAAAUCAUUAAUUUAUGAACAAUUGAUCCAUUAAUAGUGAUUAAAAAAUUAAGUUACUUUAGGGAUAACAGCGUAAUUUUUUUGGAGAGUUCUUAUCGAUAAAAAAGAUUGCGACCUCGAUGUUGGAUUAAGAUAUAAUUUUGGGUGUAGCCGUUCAAAUUUUAAGUCUGUUCGACUUUUAAAUUCUU
rnacentral:rRNA from 1 species